CUGGGGCCUUGUUACAUUCCCACAGUUAACACAUUUGAACAUUUUGCUGGAUGAGGAGAUAGAAACGUCUUGUCUGAUGAAAAGCACGUUUUGCAAGGCUUGACAAAUGCGAUGUUCACCUUGAGCCAAUGUGGAACACUGUGAAGUGUGUACAGUAUCUUCUAUCUGUGUUUCUUUGUAUGCUACAUGAACUAAAUCCCGAAUAAUCCUGUGGAACAAGGAAUGGUUUCAUCUCCCUGUCGCAGAUCCGAGGUGGAGGCACAGACAAAACAAUACUUUGCA